rnacentral:lncRNA from 1 species
GUUGUCCGGCGGGCCUAUGAUCAGCACCAGCUCGCGGGAGAAAGUGCUGCCGGACUUCUCCACACUGCCCAGCUGCACACGCCGGGGCUCCUGGGACUGCCGAGGAUCGUUCACCGGGCGCGAAUCCUGAGGACCCAAAUAGGGUGAGUGAUUUCUUGAAGGUCUCCUUGCUGAAGGCAUCACUGAAGGCUUCGCAGGUGAGGGACAGGCCAUUGUCUUCUCUCUUCACCAAGAGUGUCAGAUUGGACAUGGAGAUGUGGCCACCAUGCAGGCCCUAGCAAGGAGUGAGCUUCAGAUUUACGGCCCAAGAAGGCCUCACUCAUGGUAGCAGAGGCCUGGGUCCACCAGACCCUACCAAGGACACAUGAAACUUUCCCACCCUCCCUCUAUAAGACCCAAGAACUGGAGCCUCAGUCUGGCCUCUGCAGGGCCCAAAGCCUCUGAGGAUGUCAAACCACAAUCAUGUACAUCCUCACAUCCAUGACUGUCUCAUCCGUGGGCAGCAACUGCCGUCCACCCAACCACCAUCUCAGCAGGACCGGUGGGCGACUGGACUUGACACACUGUUGUAGGACUGACAGCUGAGCCGAGCUCCGUGGUCUUCAGGUCGAACAGUCAUUACCAGCACACUGUGAGCCACUGCCUGGGCAUGUUCUGUGCCCCAAGCUAUGGACACUGGUUUACCAUUCUGGACACAGAGGCAAACCUGGUUACCUCAGCAUCGCUCCUUCCCCAGGCCCCCGUGUCAGCCCUCCAUCCUCACCUUCAGCCACUGCAGGGUCGCAGGUGGAUUUCCACCUCUGGCUAUGCAGGGCAGCUCCAAGUUCUCCCCUGCCCGUACAUGCCCCUCAUUCAGGCCUGGCCAAUCAAUGACAGGAGGUCCUGGGGGGACUGGAGAGCAUAGACCACUCAGGGAGCCUAGGAAGCCCCCAUCUACUCUUUCUGGGCUCCAUAACUUGCUUUUCUCUCCUCUUGUGGACAAGGGAGAUGGUGCAGGAGGGCCUUGGCAACAAGCCCAACAACCUGACUUCAAGUCCAUUUUGCAAGGGGAGACUUAACUUCUGAAAGAUGUUCUCGUGCAUGCACACAUGCACAUGCACACAUGCAUACAACAACAACAGCAGCAGCAAUAACAAUAACAAAUCUUAGCUUUUCCUUGGCUGCUUGCUUUUUGUUUCCAGUGCUGGGUUUGGAACCUGGGUUUAUGCUUACCCCAGGGUGGAUUCUAUGGCAGAGCUACAAAGUCCAGCCCUCAGUAGCCCAGGUUGGCCUUACUGUCCUUCUGCCCCCACCUCCCGUAUACUGAGAUUAUAGGUACACAACACGGUGGCUGAUGACAA